UAGGUGAACCUGCGGAGGGAUCAUUACCGAGUUUACAACUCCCAAACCCAAUGUGAACGUUACCAAACUGUUGCCUCGGCGGGAUCUCUGCCCCGGGUGCGUCGCAGCCCCGGACCAAGGCGCCCGCCGGAGGACCAACCAAAACUCUUUUUGUAUACCCCCUCGCGGGUUUUUUAUAAUCUGAGCCUUCUCGGCGCCUCUCGUAGGCGUUUCGAAAAUGAAUCAAAACUUUCAACAACGGAUCUCUUGGUUCUGGCAUCGAUGAAGAACGCAGCGAAAUGCGAUAAGUAAUGUGAAUUGCAGAAUUCAGUGAAUCAUCGAAUCUUUGAACGCACAUUGCGCCCGCCAGUAUUCUGGCGGGCAUGCCUGUCCGAGCGUCAUUUCAACCCUCGAACCCCUCCGGGGGGUCGGCGUUGGGGAUCGGCCCUGCCUUUGGCGGUGGCCGUCUCCGAAAUACAGUGGCGGUCUCGCCGCAGCCUCUCCUGCGCAGUAGUUUGCACACUCGCAUCGGGAGCGCGGCGCGUCCACAGCCGUUAAACACCCAACUUCUGAAAUGUUGACCUCGGAUCAGGUAGGAAUACCCGCUGAACUUAAGCAUAUCAAU
rnacentral:rRNA from 1 species